rfam:Pteropus alecto contig18555, whole genome shotgun sequence.
GGCUCCAUAGUGUAGUGGUUGGCACGUCUGCUUUACAUGCAGAAGAUUCUGAGUUCACGCCCCAGGUGGAGCCA